rnacentral:lncRNA from 1 species
GAGGGGGGCGGAGGGCCGCCGCCCGGAGUGCCUUGUUGUACUUCACCUAAUCCAAUGGCAAAAUCCAAGCAGUAAGAAUCUGGAUCUUCUCUGUGUAAAAUGCUUGUAGCCUUGCAAAGGUUGGUCUGUGCAUGGUCCCGCUUAAUCCAAGCACCUGGAAGCCUCUGCGGAAUCAGGACCUGGGAACGUGUGGGAAACUGCUGCCUUUGUUUCAGUACGGUUUUGAGAAAGUGUAUUCAAUCCCAGCUAUAAAUGAGGAGCACAACAUGUCUCAAACUGAAAGGAGCAAGAGCUUGUGUUAGAGAUGAAGUCUGAACGACAGUUUUAAGGUAGCAUUACGGCAAAGAUUUCAUUGUACAGACCAACCCAAUGUCAGUAACAGGAGUUUAUGCUGAAGAGGUUGAGUGGAGUAAAUCCACUGCAUAUGAUGGUGGAACUGUCUCAGGCAUUAAACCUACCUUUUCAGCCUUGUUCUCCCAGUAACACCCACUGCCUUCCACUGAAGUCUCCAAUUUUG